GCUGUGCACAGUGGUGUGUGGCUGUAGUUCCAGCUACUCAGGAGGCAUAGGCAGGAGGAUCACUUGAGUCUGGGAGUUCUGUGCUAUAGUGCCCUAUGCCAAUCAGGUGUUCACACUAAGUUCACUAUCGAUAUGGUGACCUCUCAGGAGCAGGGAACCGCCAACUUGCUGAAGGAGAGGUAAAAGAGCCCAGGUUGGAAACAAAGCAGGCCAAAACUCCUGUGAUGAUCAUUAGUGGGAUCACACCUGAGAAUAAUUACUGCACUCCAGCCUUGGCAACAGAGAUACCCCAUAUCUGAA
rnacentral:SRP_RNA from 2 species